UACGAGGGGGCUAGCGUUGCUCGGAAUCACUGGGCGUAAAGCGCACGUAGGCGGCUUUUUAAGUCAGGGUGAAAUCCUGGAGCUCAACUCCAGAACUGCCUUUGAUACUGAGAGCUUGAGUCCGGGAGAGGUGAGUGGAACUGCGAGUGUAGAGGUGAAAUUCGUAGAUAUUCGCAAGAACACCAGUGGCGAAGGCGGCUCACUGGCCCGGUACUGACGCUGAGGUGCGAAAGCGUGGGAGCAACAGG
rnacentral:rRNA from 1 species